GCUCUCCCAAUAUUUUGGACAAGAUCCGCCACUGGUUGUAUGUAACUCCAAUACACAAAAUCACAUGUUUUCUCAAAAUCAACAUUUGCCUAAGGGGAACGGUUAAUGCUUACCAAAGGGGGGUUAAAAAUAGCUGAAUUGGAGGUAAAUGUGUCUACUGUUACUCUACAAAUCUAUCUUUUAUAUUGAUUAUGAAUAAAUGGUGAGAAUGACUCUUAAUCUCUUAAUUCCUAUUUUGAUUUUUAUGCCUACUUGGAAUUCCACCCCAUCCCCUUCAAAUCUGCAUAGUAACCAAAACAAAAAAUGAAAGAAAUAGAGACAAUGAGAAAGUGCAACAAAAAAAAAAAACAUAACCUGCUCAACUUGUGACUCAAUUUAUUUUAUGAGUUUUAAGAGUUCCAUGCCAGUUCUCAUUUAUCUCAGUAUUAUUUGAAUCAUUUUCUAUAUGUCUGUCCAUACUCCAUCAAAUACUCUUCUUAUGUUGGCAUUAAUAAGAGACAAUGCCUCUCACAAUCUUUAAUCUUUCUUCCAUUAUUCUUGGAUGCUGCACUUGAAACUAUAAUAGCGGUAUAAUGUAUUUUGCAUCCUUCUGACUCAUUUUGUAGUUACAUUAUAUUACUAUAUACAUUGUAGUCAGUCUUCAUGCACUUGACAACUAUGUAGAGAUCAGAUGUUAAUACAUAGUCUGGGAAUUAGUUUGAUACUUGCAUUUUUAUUUUGAGUGCUUGAUCUUAUUUAAGUUUAAUUUUAAGUACUUAAUCCCUAAGAUUUAGAGGGUUAAAAAAAAUCUUGAAUAUGUGUGAAGAAGUAUGUUGAAAUUGAGUUUAAUAUGAUAAAAUGAUUUUUCAUCAUCUCAAUUGAAGCAAAGAGCGUCCAAUAUAUAUGAGAUAAAUUUAUUAUUGUCUCCCUUAUCUUUUAUCUUUCACCUUGUCAAAGCAUAUGAAAAAGACUUUUUACCUUUUUUACCCUCUACUAUUUGAUAGUAAACAUUUCUGAAGUUAUUAACAUUUUGAUAAUUUUAAAUUUUCGAUUUUUUUAAAGAGUUCUAGAAAAAUUGCAUUUCGAAAACUGUGUUCAUCCAAAUUCUUGAUUGUUUUUUUCUUAAUUUUUAAAAAAAUUGCAUUUUAGAAGUUUCACAUUUGUUCAAAUUUUUCAAAUUUUUCAAAUUUUAUUAAACUUUUGAAAAAAAAUACAUUUCAGAAGUUUCACAUUCAUUCAAAAUUUUGAAUUUUUUUAAAACUUUUAAAAAAAUUGCAUUUAAAAAGUUUCAUAUGUAUCAAAAGUUUCGAUCUUUUUUUAAACUUUUGAAAAAAUUACAUUUCAAACGUUUCACAUUAUUUCAAAGUUUCAAACUUCUUUUAAACUUUUAGAAAUUUUUUACUAUCAAGUAGUUUAAGGUAAAAUUAUCUUGUCAUGUGUUUUAAAGGAGUGAGUAAAUGUGAGAUGGUGGAUGAUAACUUUCUCUAUAUAUGAGGAAUUAUUAAGUGAGAGGAGUUUUCACAUGAGAUAGUGAAAUAAUUAAAUUUUAAUCAUACAAUCAUACAUAGCUGACUGUGAUAGAAAGUAUCGUAUAGUCACUUAAAAAAGUCACAUGACUUUUUGUUUUAAUUUUAACUAUUCAUGACUUGAUCAAUGACUAAGAUUUAUCCUUUUUACAUUCUCAUUUUAAAACUCAUCCCAUUUGAUAUGUUUCCUAUAUAUAUAUACUUAUAUAUUUUUCUAGGCAACAAACUUUAAAUCGCCAAAAGAUGAUAGACGUUCCUCUGAGUCUAGUUAUUGGCCUGAGGAUCAUGGAACAAUAUCACUAAAAACAAUUUAUAUAUUUUUUUGAACUUCUAAGUUUGAUGUAGUUGUUUUGUAUGUUUAGCCACUUCAAAAUAUUUUGGUUUUAUAAUGUUCAAAUUACUUUAUUUAUUCGUUUAAUUAAGUUCUAGUAUAGAGGUCGUUAGUUUUGAAUAUAUUAUAUGAAUGAGAUUUAGCCAUUUACAAUUAAAUAUUUAUAUAUCUUAAUUAUAUGAAUGAUAUUUUUAAAUAUUAUUCAAAUUAAUUUAAAAUUAAUUGUUAUUUAAUAAGUUAUUAAAAUAAAUUUAAUGAAACUUGAAAAACCAAGUCAGCAAUUGGACAAGAGAUUUUAACGGCAAUAGUGCCUAAUUCUUAGCUUCUAACGGCUGCAUUACAUAUGGAUCAUUAAUCUUUAAGUUUACUUUUUAGAUAUUCAACAAAUACAGUAUUCACUUGUACCUACUUCUAUCUAAUUACUCUAAAAGUCAAUUUCCAAGUAAAACUUACAUCAGCUUCUCCUUCUCUUAAAAUAAGGUCAUGGCAAGAACUAAAGUCAAUUUGUGCAGCCUUAGCCCCUAUAAGCUGUGAAUGUUUUUAAUCAACUUUAUCAUUUUUGGUGGCUUAAGUCCUCACAAAUUUGUGGCGGACUGUGUCACAAAUUUGUGAGGGCUUAAGCUUUCACAAAUGAUAAUAAAAAAACCAACUUUUGUGGUCGUUUUUGCCGCCACAAAAAUUUGUGAAAUUUGUGAUGUGAUGGGGUUAUUUGUGAGUGUCUUAGGCCGCUUCAAAUGUGUCUGUUGUAGUUGUUUUUCUCCCUUUGUGAGGGCUAUUGGCUGCCACAAAAUCUGAGUUUUCUUGUAGUGAUAAACCUAUUGGAAUAAGUUGAUAUUGUUGGGUUUUUGGCUCCCUUCCUAUGUGGAGAAAGGCCCAAUAUGUGCAAGCCCAUGUGUCUCACUUAACCAAGUGAAGAGAGGUCAGAUUAGUGAGAGAGAGAGAGCUGAAAUCAGAGAGUGAGGCAAAGAGAAAAGCGAGAGAGGAAGAGCAAAAUCCAUUUUCGCAUAAAAUAGAGCAGCUGCACUAGAUUCACGAUUUCUCCUUCGUUCACCGUUGGAUCGGGCUGCAAUUUGGACAGCAGGUUCGUGACUCAUGGUACUUCCAUCUAACUGGUUGGAUCGUCGAUCGGAGGUCUGAGGUGGGAGAUAUUGAGCUCGUACAGUAGCAGUAUUUCCUGGUUUUUCUGCUGAACUUUGUUCUCAAUUUCAUGUUUGUUUUCUCAUUGUUUUGGCUGAUUGUUGUGCUGGUUACCUUGCUAUUUUUUGGCUGGUUACUGAGCACGAAUUUGUACCAUAUUUGAAACUCUCAUGUACCCAUAUUGUGUCCUUUGUGGUAGUGAUUUUAGUUGCUGUGAUUAUUUGUUGUUGCUCCUCACAGAUUCUUGCAAGUUUGGGAAAUUGAUUAUCCGCUGCAUAUUGCUCUGUUAGAGUUGUUAUUGUUAUUUGUUGUUGAAUUUCCCAUCAGAGUGGCAUCAGAGCUCUUUGGUUAAGGGGCUGUUUGACUUGUUUGAAUGAUGGAGGCAAAUAAAAAUAGAAUGAUUUGUUUGAAUGACACUAAUUAUCACUUAUGGAAGGGAAAAAUGAAGGAUCUGUUAUUUGUGAAGAAUUUGCAUCUUCCUGUGUUUGCUAGUGAGAAGCCAGAAUCCAAGACUGAUGAGGAUUGGAGUUUUGAACAUCAGCAGGUUUGUGGUUUUAUUCGGCAAUAUGUAGAAGACAAUGUUUAUAAUCACAUUGCUAAUGAGGAACAUGCAAGAUCCUUGUGGAAGAAGAUUGAAUCUUUGUAUGCUUCUAAAUCAGGGAAUAAUAAGUUGUAUUUGUUGAACUCCUUGAUGAAUUUGAGGUACAAGGAGGGGACUUCUAUUUCAGAUCACUUAAAUGAUUUUCAAGGGCUCCUAGAUCAAUUGUCAGGUAUGGGUAUCAAAUUUGAUGAUGAAGUGUUGGGACUAUGGCUACUGAAUACUCUACCAGAUUCUUGGGAAAUGUUUCGGGUUUCAAUUACAAACUCAGCUUCUGAUGGUGUUGUCUCUUUGCAAAGUGUAAAGGGAAGUGUUCUUAAUGAGGAGAUGAGAAGGAAGGCACAAGGUACUUCAUCUCAUUCUGAGGUACUUGUCACUGAGAACAGGGGCCAUAGCCAAAGAAAGGAACCGAAAGGGAACAGACAGAAUAACAGAAGUGCGAGUAGAGAGAACAACAGAAGUAAGUCCAAGUCCAGAUACAAGAAUGUGGAGUGCAAUUAUUGUCACAAAAUGGGGCACAUACAGAGGAACUGUUUCAUAUGGAAAAGGGAGAGCAAAAACAAUAACAGUAAGCAGAGAGAUAAGAAUCAUGAUGAUGAUGACCGUGUUACUACUGCUACUUGUGAUGAUCUGAUUAUUCUCCGUGACUAUGACUCAGUCAAUCUUGUAUCAGAUGAGAGCAUCUGGAUUAUUUAUAGUGGUGCUACAUUGCAUGUUACACCAAAGAAGGAGUUCUUCACAUCUUACACUUCUAGUGACUUUGGAGUGUUGAACAUGGGUAAUGAUGGUGAGUCUAAGGUAGUUGGUAUUGGUGAUGUUUGUUUGCAAACCAACAUGGGAGUACAGUUGUUGCUUAGAGGAGUCAAACAUGCUCCAGAUGUUCGCUUUAAUUUGAUCUCUGUGCAGAUGCUUGAUGAUGGUGGUUAUGAUAAUCACUUUGGUUCAGGAAAAUGGAAACUCACCAGAGGUAACUUAGUUGUGGCCAGAGGGGAGAAAAUUAAUAAACUGUAUUGGACUAAAGCAUUGGUUGCUAAAGACAGUGUGAAUGCCAUGGAUAUGGAGGCUUCUUUGUGGCACCGCAGGCUUAGUCAUAUCAGUGAAAAGGGGCUGAAUUUUUUAGCUAAAAAGGAUUUACUUCCGGGAUUAAAGAGUUCAGAGUUGGAGAAAUGUUCUCAUUGCAUGGCUCGUAAGCAGACUAGAGUAUCCUUCAAGAAACAUCCUCCCUCAAGGAAGUCAGAGUUGCUUGAAUUGGUGCAUUCUGAUGUUUGUGUCCCGUUGAAGGUAAAGUCAUUUAGUGAUGCACUUUACUUUGUUACUUUUAUUGAUGAUUGUUCCAGGAAGCUUUGGGUCUAUGCUUUGAAGACAAAAGACCAAGUUCUGGAGAAAUUCAAAGAGUUCCAUGUUAUGGUGGAGAGACAGUCAGGCAAGAAGUUCAAAUGCAUUCGUACUGACAAUUGUGGUGAGUAUUGUGGACCAUUUGAUGUUUAUUGCAAGCAGCACGGUAUCAAACAUGAAAAGACUCACAUGAAAAGACUCCUCCUAAAACUCCUCAGCUGAAUGGUUUAGCAGAGAGAAUGAACAAGACAUUGAUUGAAAGAGUUAGGUGUAUGCUUUCUGAAGCAAAGUUGCCUAAGCAUUUCUGGGGUGAAGCAUUGUACACGGCAGUGCAUGUUAUUAAUCUGAGUCAUGCAGUUGCUUUGAAUGUUGAGGUGCCAGACAAGAUUUGGUUUGGCAAGAAUGUCAGGUAUGAUCAUUUGCGUGUCUUCGGUUGCAAAGCAUAUGUGCAUGUUCCAAAGGAUGAGAGAUCCAAGUUGGAUGCGAAGACAAGACAAUGCAUCUUUAUCGGUUAUGGUCAGGAUGAAUUUGGCUACAAGUUGUAUGAUCCAGUUGAGAAGAAAGCUGUUAGAAGCCGUGAUGUGAAGUUCAUGGAAGACCAAACGAUUGAAGACAUUGAUAGGAUGGAGAAGACUACACCUGAGAUUGAUAAUGGUUUGUCUGAUGUUGAUCCAGUUCGGAUGCCUAUACAUGAUCUGGAUACUGCUGAAAAUAAUGUUCAGAAUGAUGAGCAACAUGGUGAUGUUGGUGAUCAGCAGCUUGGAGAUGAUUUUGAUGUUCCUAAUGAUGAUGCUGAAGAAGAACAUGAGAUGUCACAAGAUGAGGAUCUUGGUGAUGCUCCUGAACCACCUCAAGCUCAAGUUUGGAGGUCUACUAGGCAGAGGAAACCAUCCACCAGGUAUCCUUCUGAUGACUAUGUUACCUUGACUGAUGGAGGCGAACCUGAAUGUUAUGAUGAAGCCAUGGAGAGUGAUGAAAAGAAGAAGUGGUUGGAUGCUAUGCAAGAUGAAAUGAAGUCUUUGCAUGAUAAUCACACUUUUGAUUUGGUGAAACUACCUAAGGGAAAGAAGGCUUUGGAAAACAGGUGGAUCUUCAGAGUGAAGCAAGAAAGCAAUUCUACAUCUCCAAGAUAUAAAGCCAGAUUAGUUGUGAAAGGUUUCAGACAGAGAAAGGGUGUUGAUUUCAAUGAGAUUUUUUCUCCUGUGGUGAAGAUGUCAUCCAUUAGAACUGUGUUGAGUUUGGCUGCUACUCUUGAUUUGGAGGUAGAGCAAAUGGAUGUAAAAACUGCUUUCCUUCAUGGUGAUUUGGAGGAAGAGAUUUACAUGAAGCAACCUGAUGGUUUUCUUGUUAAAGGCAAAGAAGACUAUGUGUGUAGGCUCAGAAAGAGUCUAUAUGGUUUGAAGCAGGCCCCGCGUCAGUGGUACAAGAAGUUUGAGUCAGUUAUGUGUGAGCAAGGCUACAGGAAGACUACUUCUGAUCACUGUGUCUUUGUUAAAAAGUUUGCUGAUGAUGAUUUCAUUAUCUUGUUAUUGUAUGUUGAUGACAUGCUUAUUGUUGGGAAAAAUAUUUCCAUGAUUAUCAGGUUGAAGAAGCAAUUGGGCGAGUCAUUUUCCAUGAAAGACAUGGGAGCUGCUAAGAAGAUUCUUGGUAUAAGAAUCAUGUGUGACAGGAACAAGAAGAAACUUUGGCUGUCACAAGAACACUAUGUUGAAAGAGUAUUACAGAGGUUCCAGAUGGAAAAUGCUAAGGCUGUAAGUACUCCUCUUGCUACUCAUUUUAAAUUGAGUACUAGUCAGAGUCCUCCCAAUGAAGCUGAAAAAUCAGAUAUACAACGAGUUCUUUACGUAUCUGUUGUGGGUAGUUUAAUGUAUGCAAUGGUGUGUACAAGGCCUGAUAUUGCACAUGUUGUUGGUACAGUUAGUAGAUUUCUGUCUAAUCCAGGUAGAGAGCAUUGGAAUGCUGUGAAAUGGAUUUUGAGGUAUCUUCGUGGUACUACCAGUUUGAGGCUUUGUUUUGGAGGUGAUAAGCCUACUCUUGUGGGAUAUACUGAUUCUGAUAUGGCUGGAGACAUUGAUUCCAGAAAGUCUACUUCAGGCUACUUGAUUAAGUUUGCAGGGGGAGCUGUGGCAUGGCAAUCUAGAUUGUAGAGAUGUGUUGCAUUGUCCACUACUGAGGCAGAGUUCAUUGCCAUUACAGAAGCAUGCAAGGACUUGUUAUGGUUGAAGAAAUUCUUGCAGGAGCUUGGUUUUGUUCAAGAUAAGUACUUGCUAUUUUGUGAUAGUCAAGGUGCAAUUCAUCUUGGUAAGAAUUCAUGUUGGUACUUGCCAUUUUGUGAUAGUCAAGGUGCAAUUCAUCUUGGUAAGAAUUCAUGUUGGUACUUGCUAUUUUGUGAUAGUCAAGGUGCAAAACAAAGCCUCAAACUGGUAGUACCACGAAGAUACCUCAAAAUCCAUUUCACAGCAUUCCAGUGCUCUCUACCUGGAUUAGACAGAAAUCUACUAAUUGUACCAACAACAUGUGCAAUAUCAGGCCUUGUACACACCAUUGCAUACAUUAAACUACCCACAGCAGAUGCAUAAGGAACUCGUUGCAUAUCUGAUUUUUCAGCUUCAUUGGUAGGACUCUGACUAGUACUCAAUUUAAAAUGAGUAGCAAGAGGAGUACUUACAGCCUUAGCAUUUUCCAUCUGGAACCUCUGUAACACUCAAUCAACAUAGUGUUCUUGUGACAGCCAAAGUUUCUUCUUGUUCCUGUCACGCAUGAUUCUUAUACCAAGAAUCUUCUUAGCAGCUCCUAAUUGCUUCUUCAACCUGUCAAUCAAGGAAAUAUUUCUCCCAACAAUAAGCAUGUCAUCAACAUACAAUAACAGGAUAAUGAAAUCCUCAUCAGCAAACUUUUUAACAAAGACACAGUGAUCAAAAGUAGUCUUCUUGUAGCCUUGCUCACACAAAAUUGACUCAAACUUCUUGUACCACUGACGCGGGGCCUGCUUCAAACCAUAUAGACUCUUUCUGAGCCUACACACAUAGUCUUCCUUGCCUUUAACAAGAAAACCAUCAGGUUGCUUCAUGUAAAUCUCUUCCUCCAAAUCACCAUGAAGGAAAGCAGUUUUUACAUCCAUUUGCUCUACCUCCAAAUCAAGAGUAGCAGCCAAACUCAACACAGUUCUAAUGGAUGACAUCUUCACCACAGGAGAAAAAAUCUCAUUGAAAUCAACACCCUUUCUCUGUCUGAAACCUCUCACAACUAAUCUGGCUUUAUAUCUUGGAGAUGUAGAAUUGCUUUCUUGCUUCACUCUGAAGAUCCACCUGUUUUCCAAAGCCUUCUUUCCCUUAGGUAGUUUCACCAAAUCAAAAGUGUGAUUAUCAUGCAAAGACUUCAUUUCAUCUUGCAUAGCAUCCAACCACUUCUUCUUUUCAUCACUCUCCAUGGCUUCAUCAUAACAUUCAGGUUCGCCUCCAUCAGUCAAGGUAACAUAGUCAUAAGAAGGAUACCUGGUGGAUGAUUUCCUCUGCCUAGUAGAGCUCCAAACUUGAGCUUGAGGUGGUUCAGGAGCAUCACCAAGAUCCUCAUCUUGUGACAUCUCAUGUUCUUCUUCAGCAUCAUCAUUAGGAACAUCAAAAUCAUCUCCAAGCUCCUGAUCACCAACAUCACCAUGUUGCUCAUCAUUCUGAACAUUAUUUUCAGCAGUAUCCAGAUCAUGUAUAGGCAUCCGAACUGGAUCAACAUCAGACAAACCAUUAUCAAUCUCAGGUGUAGUCUUCUCCAUCUUAUCAAUGUCUUCAAUGGUUUGGUCUUCCAUGAACUUCACAUCACGGCUUCUAACAGCUUUCUUCUCAACUGGAUCAAACAGCUUGUAGCCAAAUUCAUCCUGACCAUAACCGAUAAAGAUGCACUGUCUUGUCUUCGCAUCCAACUUGGAUCUCUCAUCCUUUGGAACAUGCACAUAUGCUUUGCAACCGAAGACACGCAAAUGAUCAUACCUGACAUUCUUGCCAAACCAAAUCUUGUCUGGCACCUCAGCAUUCAAAGCAACUGCAGGACUCAGAUUAAUAACAUGCACUGCCGUGUACAAUGCUUCACCCCAGAAAUGCUUAGGCAACUUUGCUUCAGAAAGCAUACACCUAACUCUUUCAAUCAAUGUCUUGUUCAUUCUCUCUGCUAAACCAUUCAGCUGAGGAGUUUUAGGAGGAGUCUUUUCAUGUCUGAUACCGUGCUGCUUGCAAUAAGAAUCAAAUGGUCCACAAUAUUCACCACCAUUGUCAGUACGAAUGCAUUUGAACUUCUUUCCUGACUGUCUCUCCACCAUAACAUGGAACUCUUUGAAUUUCUCCAGAACUUGGUCUUUUGUCUUCAAAGCAUAGACCCAAAGCUUCCUGGAACAAUCAUCAAUAAAAGUAACAAAGUAAAGUGCACCACUAAAUGACUUUACCUUCAACGGGACACAAACAUCAGAAUGCACCAAUUCAAGCAACUCUGACUUCCUUGAGGGAGCAUGUUUCUUGAAGGAUACUCUAGUCUGCUUACCAGCCAUGCAAUGAGAAUAUUUCUCCAACUCUGAACUCUUUAAUCCCGGAAGUAAAUCCUUUUUAGCUAAAAAAUUCAGCCCCUUUUCACUGAUAUGACUAAGCCUGCGGUGCCACAAAGAAGACUCCAUAUCCAUGGCAUUCACACUGUCUUUAGCAACCAAUGCUUUAGUCCAAUAUAGUUUAUUAAUUUUCUCCCCUCUGGCCACAACUAAGUUACCUCUGGUGAGUUUCUAUUUUCCUGAACCAAAGUGAUUAUCAUAACCACCAUCAUCAAGCAUCUGCACAGAGAUCAAAUUAAAGCGAACAUUUGGAGCAUGUUUGACUCCUCUAAGCAACAACUGCACUCCCAUGUUGGUCUGCAAACAAACAUCACCAAUACCAACUACCUUGGACACACCAUCAUUACCCAUCUUCAACACUCCAAAGUCACCAGAAGUGUAAGAUGUGAAGAACUCCUUCCUUGGUGUAACAUGCAGUGUAGCACCACUAUCAAUAAUCCACAUGCUCUCAUCUGAUACAAGAUUGACUGAGUCAUAGUCACGGAGAAUAAUCAGAUCAUCACAAGUAGCAGUAGUAACACGGUCAUCAUCAUCAUGAUUCUUAUCUCUCUACUUACUGUUAUUGUUUUUGCUCUCCCUUUUCCAUAUGAAGCACGGUCAUCAUCAUCAGAUCAUCACAAGUAGCAGUAGUAACACGGUCAUCAUCAUCAUCAUGAUUCUUAUCUCCCUGUUUGUUCCCUUUCGGCUCCUUUCUUUGACUUCGGCCCCUGUUCUCAGUGACAAGUACCUCGGAAUGAGAUGAAGUACCUUGUGCCUUCCUUCUCAUCUCCUCAUUAAGAACACUUCCUUUUACACUUUGCAAAGAGACAACACCAUCAGAAGCUGAGUUUGUAAUUGAAACCCGAAAAGUUUCCCAAGAAUCUGGUAGAGUAUUCAGUAGCCAUAGUCCCAACACUUCAUCAUCAAAUUUGAUACCCAUACCUGACAAUUGAUCUAGGAGCCCUUGAAAAUCAUUUAAGUGAUCUGAAAUAGAAGUCCCCUCCUUGUACCUCAAAUUCAUCAAGGAGUUCAACAAACACAACUUAUUAUUAUCUGAUUCAGAAGCAUACUAAGAUUCAAUCUUCUUCCACAAGGAUCUUGCAUGUUCCUUAUUAGCAAUGUGAUUAUAAACAUUAUCUUCUACAUAUUGCCGAAUAAAACCACAAACCUGCUGAUGUUCAAAACUCCAAUCCUCAUAAGUCUUGGAUUCUGGCUUCUCACUAGCAAACACAGGAAGAUGCAAAUUCUUCACAAAUAACAGAUCCUUCAUUUUUCCCUUCCAUAAGUGAUAAUUAGUGCCAUUCAAACAAAUCAUUCUAUUUGUAUUUGCCUCCAUCAUUCAAACAAGUCAAACAUCCCCUUAACCAAAGAGCUCUGAUGCCACUCUGAUGGGAAAUUCAGCAACAAAUAACAAUAACAUCUAACAGAGCAAUAUGCAGCGGAUAAUCAAUUUCCCACACUUGCAAGAAUCUGUGAGGAGCAACAACAAAUAAUCACAGCAACUAAAAUCACUACCACAAAUGACACAAUAAUUUCAGUGUGAGAAGUAAACAACCACGGGACCAAGCCAGUAAUAGAGCUCCACUAUGAUCAAAAUAUGGGUACAAGAGAGUUUCAAAUAUGCACAAAUUCGUGCUCAGUAACCAGACAAAAAUCAGCAAGGUAACCAGCACAACAAUCGGCCAAAACAUUGAGAAAACAAGCAUGAAAUUGAGAACAAAGUUCAACAGAAAAACUAGGAAAAACAGCUACUGUCCGAGCUCAAUAUCUCCCACCUCAGACCUCUGAUCGACGAUCCAACCGGUCAGAUUGAAGUACCAUGAGGCACGAAGCUGCGGUCCAAAUUUCAGCCCGAUCCGACGGUGAAAGAAAGAGAAAUCGCGAAUCUAGUGCAGCUGCUCUGUUUUAUGCGAAAAUGGGUUUUGCUCUUCCUCUCUCACUUUUCUCUUUGCCUCACUCUCUAAAUUCAGCUCUCUCUCCCACUAAUCUGACCUCUCUCCACUUGGUUAAGUGAGACACAUGGGGUUGCACAUAUUGGGCCUUUCUCCACAUAGGAAGGGAGCCCAAAACCCAACAAUACACUGAUCCAUUAAGUUGGACAAACUUAUUUUAAGUUCAAGAAGUUUACUAUCGAAAAGUUGUUAGAAGCUUUUCCUCAAGAUUUUAAGGAUAAAGAUCUUCUCAAAUUUAAGGAUAAGCUCGAGUUCAAAAUACUUUUGAGCGUGUUGAUGCAGUUUUACUUAUUCAUAUAUUUGUAAAAAUCUCUCAAAGUAUUUCCAUUGUGAAAAUCUUUCAAAACAUAAACUUUUAUAAAAAUCUCUCAAAGUAUUUUAAGUUCAAAGUAUUUGUAAAAAUCUUUCAAAACAUAAACUUUUAUUGUUUCUAGCAACCUUUAAAUACAAUAAAUUAAUAAUUUGAAAUUAAUAAAAAUAAAACUAUCCAUAUAUAAAUUUAUAACAACCCAUUAUUAAUUAGUAAUUUGUAACAAUCCAAAACCUCACAUAAUUACUAUAAUUAAAAAUCAUAACGAUAUAAUGAUCAAUAAUAUUAAUAGAUUUACCUGGAUCUCUUGAGAUGGUAACAAGCUGGCUCACUUAGCAGCAACUUUAGCUGAAUCUGUGGACAGUCUCCCCUCCAGAUGUGAUUCAAUUAAUAGAGCUGCUAAGGACAACAGCACGAGCAAUAAAUAGAUCUCAGAUCAGAAGGAUCUGCACCUGCUGUUGGUUUAUUCUCCACCUUGUCUGGUGCAUCUCAAAUCCCUCACUGGUUCUGGUUUCGGUGCCACCGUUGCUGGCCUUACGUAAAUAUUUUGUUUUGCUUUCCAGAGGUUGUUAUCUCGUUUGGUGUUUUGAGUGGUUGGUAUUGCAAAACUUUUCAUGAGUUUAAAGAAUCUCUUUGUCUCUACUUUACUGUCACCGUUUGAGCUGUUGAUGGGAUUACUUUAUGCAUGUGGAGCUUAUCAAAUUCAAUGCUUCCAUGUGUUUACAUUGUCUUUAUGAGUUUUAGUAUAUUAUUAUUAUGUUCGUGGUCCAACAUGACUACACGGUUUUUUUUACCCUUUAUGGGUGUUAGAUGUAGCACUU
rnacentral:lncRNA from 1 species